CCAGACUCCUACGGGAGGCAGCAGUGGGGAAUAUUGCACAAUGGGGGAAACCCUGAUGCAGCGACGCCGCGUGAGUGAAGAAGUAUUUCGGUAUGUAAAGCUCUAUCAGCAGGGAAGAAAAAAGACGGUACCUGACUAAGAAGCCCCGGCUAACUGCGUGCCAGCAGCCGCGGUAAUACGUAGGGGGCAAGCGUUAUCCGGAUUUACUGGGUGUAAAGGGAGCGUAGACGGCGAUGCAAGUCUGAAGUGAAAGGCGGGGGCCCAACCCCCGGACUGCUUUGGAAACUGUAUAGCUGGAGUGCAGGAGAGGUAAGUGGAAUUCCUAGUGUAGCGGUGAAAUGCGUAGAUAUUAGGAGGAACGCCAGUGGCGAAGGCGGCCUGCUGGGCUUUUACUGACGCUGAGGCUCGAAAGUGUGGGGAGCAAACAGGAUUAGAUACCCCGGUAC
rnacentral:rRNA from 1 species